GUAAGUUGUAUUCCUAGGUAUUUUAUUCUCUUUGUAGCAAUUGUGAACGGGAGUUCACUCAUGACUUGGCUCUCUGUUUGUCUGUUAUUGGUGUAUAGGAAUGCUUCUGAUUUUUUUCAUAUUGAUUUUGUAUCCUGAGACUUUGCUUGGUUUGCUGACUGUUUUUGUAGACUGUUAAUGGCCUGUGAGCUAAGAAUAGUUUUCACAUUUGUAAGUGGUUA
rnacentral:lncRNA from 1 species